AGUCGAGAGGAAACAGCCCAGAGCAUCGACUAAGGCCCCUAAGCGUACGCUAAGUGGGAAAGGAUGUGGAGUCGCAGAGACAACCAGGAGGUUGGCUUAGAAGCAGCCACCCUUGAAAGAGUGCGUAAUAGCUCACUGGUCUAGUGAUUCCGCGCCGACAAUGUAGCGGGGCUCAAGCGUACCGCCGAAGUCGUGUCAUUGCAGCUAUAGCCCCAACGGGUGCUGUGAUGGGUAGGGGAGCGUCGUGUGCCGGGUGAAGCCGCGCCGGAAGGCAGUGGUGGACGGUUCACGAGUGAGAAUGCAGGCAUGAGUAGCGAUACACACGUGAGAAACGUGUGCGCCGAUUGACUAAGGGUUCCUGGGUCAAGCUGAUCUGCCCAGGGUAAGUCGGGACCUAAGGCGAGGCCGACAGGCGUAGUCGAUGGAUAACCGGUUGAUAUUCCGGUACCCGCUGUGAAGCGUCAAACAUUGAACCAGGCGAUGCUAAGUCCGUGAAGCCGCCCCGGAGCCUUCGGGCAAGGGGGAGUGGUGGAGCCGACGGACCAGACCUGUAGUAGGUGAGUGAUGGGGUGACGCAGGAAGGUAGUCCAUCCCGGGCGGUGGUUGUCCCGGGGUAAGGGUGUAGGCCGUGCGAUAGGUAAAUCCGUCGCAUAUUGAGGCUGAGACCUGAUGCCGAGCCGAUUGUGGUGAAGUGGAUGAUCCUAUGCUGUCGAGAAAAGCCUCUAGCGAGUUUCAUGGCGGCCCGUACCCUAAACCGACUCAGGUGGUCAGGUAGAGAAUACCGAGGCGUUCGGGUGAACUAUGGUUAAGGAACUCGGCAAAAUGCCCCCGUAACUUCGGGAGAAGGGGGGCCAUCACUGGUGAUCGGAUUUACUCCGUGAGCUGGGGGUGGCCGCAGAGACCAGCGAGAAGCGACUGUUUACUAAAAACACAGGUCCGUGCGAAGCCGUAAGGCGAUGUAUACGGACUGACGCCUGCCCGGUGCUGGAACGUUAAGGGGACCGGU
rnacentral:rRNA from 1 species